GGUUGAUCCUGCCAGUAGUCAUAUGCUUGUCUCAAAGAUUAAGCCAUGCAUGUCUAAGUAUAAGUGACACUUAAACAUCGAAACUGCGAAUGGCUCAUUAAAUCAGUUAAAAUCUACAGUGUGGUACAAAUUACUACAUGGAUAACCGUGGUAAUUCUAGAGCUAAUACAUGCACUCAAUCCCGACUUCUGGAAGGGAUGUAUUUAUUAGAUAAAAAACCAACCCGGGUUUUGCCCGGAGGAUUUGGUGAUUCAUAAUAACUGUACGAAUCGUAUGGCUUUACGCCGACGAU
rnacentral:rRNA from 1 species